CAAAAAUAUGGAACUCCUCAUUCUUUUUAUUAUCUUUAUCUCAUUUUUCUUGUUCCUCAUCAAGCCAUAUAUCAAUUCUAAAUCCAAAAAACUACCACCAGGUCCUACUGGUCUCCCAAUAAUCGGCUCACUCUUAAAACUAGGUACAAAACCUAACCAAUCACUAGCCGAGCUAGCCAAAAAACAUGGCCCUCUCAUGACUCUACAGCUCGGCUCUCUCACCACCAUAGUAGUCUCAUCAGCCGAAGUAGCCAAAGAGAUUCUCCACAAACACGACGAAACUUUCUCAGCACGUAUCGUCCCAGUAGCCGUAGCUGCUCAGCCGAACCCUGAAGCCACGUUGGCAUGGGUUAACGGCGAUCAUAUGUGGAAAAAAAAGAGAAGGUUUCUCAGUACGCAAAUGUUUAAUAAUCAACGGCUUGAUUUGCUUCAAGAACUUCGUCACCAAAAGGCGGAACAACUAGUGAGCCAUAUAAGGAGCCAGUGUGAGAGUGGAUCGGCUGUUGAUAUUGGACGGGUCGCGUUCGCGACCACGUUGAAUUUAAUAUCGAACACGAUUUUUUCGAUCGAUAUGGUGGAUCCGGAAUUUAAAAAGGCUCAUGAGUUUAAGGAAUUGGUAUGGACGAUUAUGGAAGAUGCCGGGAUACCGAAUCUGUCGGAUUUUUUUCCGGUUUUAAAGUGGCUAGAUUUGCAAGGAGUACGGAGGCGUAUAAGGCCAGCGUAUUUAAGGCUGCAUGAGAUAUUUGAAGAAAAUAUUGAGAAGAGAGUAGAAGCUAGAGCUGCAGGGAUGAAGAAAAAAGGGGAUUUUUUGGAUAUACUUCUUGAUCAAUGUGAAGAUGAUGGGUCUGGAUUUGGUACAACCAUCAAGCCUCUUAUGGUGGAUUUAUUCAUUGCCGGAAGUGAUACAUCAGCCAUAACAACAGAAUGGGCAAUGGCAGAACUUCUUCGAAAACCUGAAGAACUCAACAAAGUACGACAAGAAAUAAUCGAACAAAUAGGGCUAGAAAGAGCAGUUAAAGAAUCAGACAUGGACAAACUCCCAUAUAUAUCUUCAAGCAGUCGUAAAAGAAACCAUGAGACUUCAUCCAGCAGUUUCUUUACUCUUACCACACAAAGCCCAAAACGACGUACAAGUAUUAGGCUUCAACGUGCCUAAGGACAGUCAAGUUUUCGUGAAUGCAUGGGCAAUUGGAAGAGAUCCAAAGUCAUGGGAAAGGGCACUAGAGUUUCUGCCUCAAAGAUUCAUAGAAUCUAACGUGGAUUAUAAAGGUAGGGAUUUUGAGUUUAUUCCAUUUGGCGCAGGAAGGAGGAUUUGUCCUGGAAUUCCACUGGCUAUAAGAAUGGUGAAUUUGAUGUUGGCUUCUAUUAUUCAACCAUUUAAUUGGAACUUACCUGAUGGAAUGGAUCCGGAGAAAUUGAACAUGGAGGAACAAUUUGGAGUUAGCUUAAGGAAAGCUGUUCCUCUUGUUGCAGUUCCUAGUAUAAAAUAAAAAUAAUUUUCUUUUAAUUUAUGCCUGAUUUAUUUAAUUUGCAAUUGUUUUUCUUUACCUUAUUAAUGUGAUUGUGAGAAGUGUUUGGCUCA